UUCAGUACAGUGGUGUAGCCCUGGGCAGCGUGAAAACUAUGCGACGAAGACGAAGACGCUUACCCAUGCUAUGCGCCUGCUUACCUCAGCUUCCCAGAUAGCGCACGCACGCGGCGACGGCGGCCCACCCCUCCCACCCUGUGUGGCGCGUGCCCGCGGAGGUAGAUGGCGGCGAGCUAAUUAGUCGCGAUUGCCCCCGCACGGGGGUUCGGAUCUCCUCACAUGCAUUUUACACAGCUAGCGCGAAUAGAAGAAGCAGUCGGCGCUAAUCAGACGAGGCCACAGCCGAGGAGGAGAGCCAUGGCGGUGUUGGAUGCAGAUGGAGCACGCGGAGUCCUCCUAGGUGGGAGAGGCGGUAGCCAUCGCGGGGCUCUAGAAUAAAGGGAACAAAAAGAUGCUUUACUGAACACGAACUUUUCGGAGAAUUGUUUCAAAACUCACAAGUGUCCCGUCCCCACUCCCUGACCCCACGCUAUGAACAUGGUAGGCAGCACCGGCUAGUGAAUGGGCAGGGACAUUAAGUUUUGAGUCACCUUCCUCGGGUGCUGGGGGUCUGCCACUGGCAUCUACUUGGAUGUAAUUAAUUCAUUCAUUCAAUAACUGGCCCACAACCACCUUGUGCCCAGGUGAGCGGACAGAGCCAACGGUCAGGCUAAGACAUGGCACCUUCCCUGAUGGGACAACGUGCCAAUAAACCCAGAACUCUCGGGUGAUCACAAACUCUCUUCCAACGUUGCUUUCCUUUCACUUUUGAACAUAGCUCGCAAAACUUGGGACGCUGGGGAGAAGAAAACAGAAACUCUACCAAGAAUGCAACACACCCCAGGGUCCUCAAAGGGUAAGGGCCCAGUGUUUGAUACUUCAGUGGCCUCGAAUAAAUUAUUUGUGGACAGCUCUACCUUUGAAAAUAGGGGAACACCUCAACAGAAUUUUCGGGUCCUCCUUCCUGAAGGUUUGCCCAACUCAAACUCAGAAAGGAUGUGACAGAAAGGUGCAACACGCUGUUUUUCUUGGUCCCUGCCGGUACACCUCUACCUCCAUUCUACGCUCCGUUUUGUUUUUUUUUUUAACGGAUUUGAAAGAACAACAGAAAGCGACUCAAAGCAACCAAGGAUCUCUUGGAACUACGAAGAGGAAGCCCUCACUUGCUGCCGAGUCUCCGACUUCAUCUCCUCAAAAGUUAUUUCUUAUGCACAGCCUCAUCCACACAAAUGUACACUUCAAAAAAUAUUACAAGAAACUCAAAGGAACUUCUGUGCCAGGUUGACGCCUUUUUUUUUUUUUUUAACCUAACCAGAGUGGAUGAAAAAGAUUUAACUGCCGCUCUUGUGCUCCGGGGAAACUCUGAGUUCACAGGCAUCAGCCAGUCCUGUAAGUGGUGGCAGGAAGACAGGGACUACCUUUUACCUCUUCAACAAAAACUUCUUGAUUGAAUCUGAUUCAUCUGUCGUUUGUGAAACUAAAGACUUAGAAGAGAGAAGACCUGGCCGGAAAUUUCUGUUCCGCUCCAGUUGUGCAAAAGGCUCUUCCUCCCUGCUUCCAGUGUGCAGAGGCACAGACACAGGGUGUUUAAAAGAAGAAGAACUAGAGGAGAAGCUGCCAAAAUGGAGCACCGAGGCCGGCCUUAGUGGGGGAAGGAAGGGGUAAGUUCCUAGCAAGAAGCCUGUGACUCCCGCCUGGGAAGCCCAUGUGGCCUUCCUCAGCUGCUGUGGAGCAAGCAGGGCCAAGGCAUCAGGGUAAGUGCAAAGGUACUCUCCUUGGAAACCAGGAACCACAGUGUCUAAAAAUGCCCUCUCCUCCAGGGAGGCUUCUUGGAUUUCUCCUGGAAACCUGUGUCUGUAUCUCUUUCCUAGCCCUCUAUUGGGUGGGAAAUGAUGAACUUUCCAAACUCUGCUGCUACACAAAGUGGCUCCCAGUAUGGGGACCCAGGAAUGCCUAGCCAUUUGUUAAAGAACAAAGGACUAAGAUGUUUUUCCUACACCAUUUGCCAUUUUGGUAAUGACACAUUCAAAAGUGCUUGUGUGUGAUGCCUGGGUACUGACAAACCUCUUCAACUUUAAACUUUUCUUAAGAGAAUUAAUGGGCUCUAAAAUGAGAAAGAGUUCCCCCCCCCCCGUUUCUUCCAGAGGAGGAAAACUGGGAUCUAAAGGGACAAAAAGUUGUGCCCAGGGUCUCAGAACUGGCUCCUGGCAGAACAGGGGCUCUACUCUGUUAACCAAGAGACAAAAGCCCUGAAAGUAGGGGCUGCCGGGUUUCUCCCAUUGUAUUUUAUCUUUCUGACCUGCCUAAGGUCUUCAAAGCUCCCCAAAUAUAGGUAUUUGUCCCUAGAUACCAGUUGCUAAACUGAAACCCUUUAAAAAACCCGUAUAUUCCUAAGCCUGGGGCGGGACUGCAUUCCUGGGAAGGGAAAUGAAGGGAGGGGGCCCCACAGUGCUGCCUGAGGCAGGCGCAGGCGCACAGAGUUUCUUGAAGCUGGCCUCUCAAUUGUAAAAGCCGAGCGCCAUCUGCCAGCCGGUUCUGAACAGCUUUGCUUUGUUAAUUUUUCCCUACUCUCCCGCCUUAAGUAGUGGGUGGGUGUUUUCCUUUCUUUCUUUUAAAAUGUAUGUGUUUUUUAUAUAUAUAUAUAAAUUCUGGCUUAGAAAUGGGACCCCCUACACAAAAAGAUCCUACUUUAAAAAAAUCUGAGUAUAGAGAGAAAAAUAAAAUAGGAAAAAGAGAGAAUGGGAACAGGGCAAACAGGUAAAAUUCCUCAAGGGCGUUUAUUUCCUUUCCUGGACUCUGAGCCCUGUGAACUUUGGGUGCAAAUGAGAUGGCCCCCUUCUCUACCUAAGGCAGCCGCCCUGGCCCUUUCCUCCUCCUCCCAGAGACCCCUACUCCCCACUGAGAGCUUAACCUGUGAUCUCCAGAGUGAAGGAGUUUGAAACUUCCUGUCACCUCGAGUCUUGCGGGUGAGCCUUGGCUACAACAGAUUCAGAUUUGUCUGCCGAGUAAGUACGAGUUUCUGCUCUGUCCCCCACGCAUGUCCCCUACCCAACUUGUGCCUGCUUUAUCUGCAUCAAGGUGAUGUGGGAAGUGUUUCUGCCCCACUCUUAAACGACUCAUCAAAUCUGGUCCCUCUUUGACCAUGGCAGAACCUCAGGCCAACUUGAAGCCUUGUCAAUAUUUCAAGGCUCCCAUCGUUAGCUUUUCUACAUCACUUGGCAAGCGAAUGGAAUCCUAAAAUCAAGCGCCGGAGAAUCAAGGUCCCAGGAAACCCCUGAUGCCUAAAGCCGGUGCUCUCUCCAUCGUCUUAGGUACCCGCUUCAAAAGUUGAGGCAUCUCUGCCCACCCCCCCCACCCCGUUUAUCAGAUUCCCUCUUAAGUGUCCGUCUUAAAUCCGCACUUGCAUAUCUGUUGAACAAAACAAAAUGAUCUGCACUUUCCUUCUAACAGCUAAAAGGAAAGAGUCUGGGGUCACGUGACUGCUACAGUAUAAAUAGCCCAGAGCUUUUUUGGCCACCCAACUUUAGAAAUUUCCCGCUAACGUCUGGCAUUGGAUAUUGGGUUCCACCCUGAGUCUUCUAAGCAUUUCCUUGGAAAGAUGUUGUACUUGGUCCCAGGCAAAGUCUCAAAAUCAACAUUCUGAGGUUUUUUCCCCCCCCCGGAGUUACUUCUAGGAUUGCUCAGUGACGAGUUUUUCCUGGUUAGGGGGCACUUCGGUUAGCAGAACCUGAAACGUUCGGAUGGGUCUGCGGGACGGUUCCAUCUCAAGUGAUGCUUUCCCACCUGACACGGCCAGCAUUUAACUGCUCAAACCACCAAUUGUUUUUUACCACUCCCCUUUAUCUUUCCCCUAGUAGCUAACUUUUCAUUAUGAAAAUCUCAAGUUCCUUAAGAGGGGGGCUGAAAGGAUGGGGAAAGUCUUCAGUUUCAAAAAAUUAGAAACUGGGAGUACAAUUCAGGGUCUGCAUGGCUUAAAACCUGGAUUCAGUCCCCAGCAGCCAAAGAAAGAGAGGUAAGGUGUAAGUUUGGCGAGUGAUGACCUAACCCUCAUCCUAGUGGGUAGACGUGGGUAUGGAUGUUGCUUUGAGAUGGAGAGGCGUCAACGGUUUUAUCAAAGGCCAAGUACAAUAUUUUUGACCAGGAAAUGUCUUUGGUUGGAUACUUCUAUUGGCAUCAUUGUUUUCUUCCUCAGUGUAAUUACUUUAUUCUCUCUACUACCACUUGAAGGUGCCCUGGCAUGGUGACCUUCCCAUGGAUGAGUGGGGUCCGUGUCCUCAUGGCUGGUGUGCACAGGCUAAUUCAAGACUCUUCUAGUAUAUUUGCAAGUAUGCAGAAGGCGCAGGCGCUUCCCUCGCCUUCUGGAAAUCCCUUCUGCGAUAACAGAAUUUACUAGUGCACACCAGGCAAGAGGGACACGGGCUAACAUGACAGCUAAUUACUGAGCCUAAAGAACCCUAUGUGCGAUGGUUAAGGGUUAAUUGUCUAUGCUUGCCCCUGACACUGACUGCCCAUUGAUUAGUUAGAUAUUGACCUGUCACAGUCAUUGUUUAUUUGCCUGAAAUAAUUUCUUCUUCUCUUCAAUUUAGGGUCAUCUAGGGGUCACUCUUGGAGAUUUGUGGAAAUUGCUUCUGUCCAAGAAUGCAGGCCACUAAAAUUAGUAUGUACACCGCUGACUGGUUAGUAGAGGGACAGCUCUUCUUCAGAGGAACUGUUUAUAGAUGUACAAGUUAUGCCAUGUUUAUGUCUAGCCAGCUUCCCCAGGACUAGAGAUGGCUGUCUAGGCAGCAGCUCUCGACCAUGGGUGACAUUUGGUGUUGACUAAAGAGUUUUGGGUUGUCAUACUGAUGUUGGGGAGGUGGUGGUGGUGGUGGUGGUGUGCAUGCGUGUGUGUGUGUGUGUGUGUGUGUGUGUGUGUGCGCGCGCACACGCGUGCGCGAGCGUGCGUGCAGUAGUGAAGCAUCUAUGUGCGUGGUGGUGACAGUAACGUGUCAUACUGGUAGCAGUGGGUGUAGUCUGCGUAAUGUGUGUGGUGGCGGUGGUGAUGUGUGUGUCUGAUAUUGGAUAUCAGUGCACAGAGGGGUCUCCCCUCCACGGGAAGGAGGUGAGGGGGAUGCUAAUUGAGCUGCCUGGAGGACCUCUCGGUUAACAGAUUCCCUUUAAAUGUUCCUGAAAUAUCAGUGUAUAACUACAAAAGAGUCAUGUUGCUGCUUAAAAUACAAGAAAUGUGGGUCUGACUAAACUUCGGGGGCCCCUACGAGCCUCCUCUUUGGGGUGGGGGCAGCAGGACCCUCCCUCACCUUGCUGGGUGUCCUUGUCAUUUCUCACUGGCAAUAUAAACCCACUGCCUCCCUCUGCUUAUACUGUCUCACCAUCUAGUGGUCACCUGAAAUAUAACCCACAUUUGCUAUCUCUGGGCUUUUCUAUAAAGCCAGCCAUGAGAAAUUCUUAUUUGAGGGGACAGUGGGCAGGAGACCCCUCUGCAUAACACAUGCAGUUUCAUUGGUAAGCUAUCUGAGCACACACUAGGCUCGGUAGAGCCAUCCAGAGUGCAAAUGCAAGGAGUUAGGACGUACACUUCCCACACAUUCUGAAAACAAUAGCAGCACCAAUGAGCAACAAACUUGAGGGGCUAAUUACAAACAAGCUUUGCCGUUCCUAAGAAGCAACCCUUUGAGCUUUGGUCCUAUCCCUCUGGACACAUAGAGGUUGACACACACGGUCACAGACUGAGGACAGUGCUGGUUUGAAAGGACGUGCGUGAGUGGAUGGUCCCUAGCAGCUACAUGCUGCCCUAGGGACACCAUUUACUCUUGAUACUUUAUCCUUUGGGGGGGUAAGAGGAAGUCAUUUCUGUUUUGUUAGGCAGCGAUGAGACCGGUAAGCUACUUUUACUGCCUUAGAAGCCAGGGUUCAGACCUGAGAGAUGGAUCUCAGGAACUUAAGAGGACUCAACAUGUCCACCAGGUAAGCUGCAGGACGCUUGCCCCCAUCUCUUUCGCAGCCCUGGGGUCCCUGACUCAUCUCAGUGCCUAGCUCUGGGUCUUGUGUGUCGUGGUGACCAUUGCUGUUGACAUUUGUGUAAAGAGAAUCCGGUUUGGGACUUACCUGUGUGCAGGUUACCUGUAAGAAUGUCUUCACAGUUGUUUACACAUUAGUGACCAGUUUGACAUGAGGCAAACUGCUCACACAAGGGAGGAGGAGAGAGGUGGUCAGAUCUUUUGACAGAAGGGACAGGCAAGAGCCAGCAAGUUGGGAGAGAGGCUCCAGCCGACUGUUCUGGUGUCUUCGUCAGAGGUCACACGCCCUCAACAACGGCAGUGUGCAAGCUUGACCGUAACACUCCUGAGAAGGUAGGUAUAUAAGCUUUUUCCUUCCCAUUAUCAACUCAGUGGAUAAAGUCUGAAGCACUUACUGUGUCCCACACUCAAAAGGUGUGUGACAGUGUCAGAAACACUGACUGAUGUCAAAUUUUAAAUCACAUAACAAUUUAUAUUACUUCUAUACGUCUCUCCUCGUCCCCAAAUUGAAUCAUUAACAUUUAGUAAAAAAAUCCAAUGUUUGGGAUUGGUGGGCAGGAUUCUCCAAGUCAAAAUACUCCUGAAUUCUCCUGAGCUUUAACAAAUUCACUUUGUAAUGCAGUUUGGGGUUUUACCUCUAAGUGCAACAGAAGCAUACUUCCUUAGUUUUCGUUGCUCUGUCACAAAUCACUUGCCUGAUGUUCCUCCUUGGUCACAGCUUCCAGUGUGGCACAUGCAAAACACUUCCAAUAAUUCUAACUUGUCAGAGACCAAAGCAUCCAAGCCUGUGAUAGUUGGCAAUAAUCGAAAAGUUAACAUUGGGGGAAGGGGGUGUGUCCUUACCUGUUUCUUGGGGAGUCUUGGUCUUGUCCUCUUCCUGUUCCACCAGCUGGCCUGCUUCAUCGGUGAUCUGGUUACUGGGAGGGAAACUAAAGACACUUUUUUUUGCAUGUAAAAUAACCACAUCCCAACCCCUGGGGCUAAGUAAGAGUUCUGAAUUAAUUUACACAGAGGUAGCCAAUGACAGGGGGUGGGGAGUAGGGAGGAAGGGUGAGCAAGAAUGACUGACGGUGCUUGUUCAGGAUUGGCGUGGGGGCAGGAAGUGACCCUUUCAGGAAGUUUUCUUCCUCUUCUGCCGCAUUAUCCUAAAGUUGGCAAGAUGCCAUUUGUCUCUUGACUUGUGUUACAAGCCCUGGUACACAGAGUGCACUAUGAAAUGUAGAAGCACGGGGUGCCUAGGCUUGAGCUGACAAAUCUCUCGUUGAGAUUGCACAAGAAGUAAAACCUCCCCCUGGAACAAAGACAGGAGGAGAAGAGGCAGGGGGCUCCUGAGUGUGAGACACACUGGACUCGCAGCUAAUAAGAAGCUUCCUUCAGGUUCUGGCUCUCCUUUGAGGGAAUGGAGAAGAACAAGGCCUCUUCCGGGAUAAGCCCCUCUGGCCAGCCUGGGCUUGAGGCUGCCCACUGGGAUUCUUAAGCUGCGUAAAGAUCUCAAAAGAUUCUUCAUCUGAAAUUACAAAAGAAAGGCCAGAUCUAUGUUCUUCUCAUUCCCUCUGAAGAGCUUGAUCCUAGGUCCGCAGGUCGGCCUAGGGCUAUGGUGGGAACAAAGGAUGCCUUCCAUGCGGUGAGCUGAAGAGCUUGCCAAGGUGGGUGUCGGGACCAGAGCCUGCGUGUUCCCAGGAGGCCCCACAAAUGCUCACUGCUCUUAGCUUCUUCCCUUUGGCCCUGUUGUUUCCAUUUGGAAAACUUUUACUUUUCCUGUGGAGUUUUAUUUUAAAAUAGGCAAAAAGCAAAAACAAAAACAUACUAACUUUAAUUUCAUUAAAACCCUGGGAGGGGGAAAGUGCAUUUAGCCUGUGUCACGUCUUUAAAAAAAAAAAAAAAAAAACAGAAACUAAAUUUCAUUUGCUAUUUGUAUGUCUCCUGAAAGGGCACAGAGACAUUUGAAAAGCUAGAAAAGGGGUGGGCACAUUUAAUUUGGAGAGGGAAUUGAUUUAAAAAACAAGAGGGUAUACCUAGAAUUGGUGGUUCAAUUUUAAUCAAUUAGGCCAUCUUCUUAAAAAUUUUUUUUGUUGUUUAACACAACUUUCCUACAUUAAAAUAAAACAUCAAAACAAAUGACGUUCAAAAUCAUGCAUGGGUUCUUGAUAAAUGGAAAAAAUGGGACUUAGCUGUGAACUGAAAAUGAAGAUGGCUUUUAAAAGCCAGGAAAAGAAAGUUAUUUGGGGCCCUGUAUUCCCUUAACUAGGACUCUGUAUACUGUAGCAUUGCCUGUUCAGGAAUGUAUACAAAAAAGGGCAUCACAUUGUUAUUAUUAAUUAAUAGUAUUAUUAAUAUUAAUAAUAUUAAGUAAUAGUAAUUAACAAAUAUCAGUAUUAAUUAAUAAUAAUUGCUGUUGUUGACGUUGAUGCUACAAGCGUGAGCCCUGCAUAAAAAAAAUAUUGGGAGGUUUUUCUCAGAAAAGAUGUAAAGUAAAACCUACAUUAUUUAAAAAAGAAAAAAAGAAGAAGAAAAAAAGUAUUCUAAUGUGUGUGUGUAUGUGUGUGUGUAUGUGUGUAUGUGUGUGUAUGUGUGUGUAUGUGUAUGUGUGUGUGUGUGUGUAUGUAUGUGUGUGUGUGUAUGUGUGGGUGGGGAGGCAGAUGAGAUGAAGCAAAUGUGGGUAUUGAAUUUCCACAGCAAUGGCUUCCCAAAGGGGGCAGCAUACAUUGCAUGUUCACUCGGUAGACAUUCAGUCAGUGGCCUGCCAGGGCCUGGCUGGAAUUCAGAAAGCAGCAGGCUGUUAGACACCUGUCGUCAAGCAAGGGAUUUUAAGAUCACAGGGAGCACUCAACAGCAGUCAUGCCCUCGGUUUAGAGAAAGCCAUGGAGAAUCUUUCUUGUGGGCUUGGUGAGUGGCAGCAUGUCAGAACUAGAGGCCUGAGUUCUUCAAAUACUCACCGUGCAACCUUUGGGAGAAAAACAAAGCCCCUCACAUUUAAUCUCUGUGAUGUGAAUGGAUGCUCUUGUGAAACGGGCAUGCUGUGGUGCUCUCUCUGCCCAGAACUGUUUCAAAGGAUUAACAUGAUGAGACAGAAUGCUUUUAAAACUGCAAACUGCAAUUAGAACAUGCUAACCACUAACAAUGCUGAGAGCGUCGAGGGUCCCCUACCCUUCUCGAGGCAGGAAAUGGUCCCUGUUGUCUGUGCUUGUACCAUAUCAGCAAAUUAAAAAUAAAAUUUGCCAUUUAGGGGAAAAAUGUUUUUGAGAUAAAUAGAAAUUUUUUUAAAGGGGCCUCUGUAAAACGUGGAUGUUACCGAGAGACAGGGAAAGGCAAAAAAAAAAAAAAAAAAAAAGUAAAAUUGGGGGGCAAUAAGCUAUGCCCUUCCCACGGCAAACAGUUCAGUGGAGGCAUUGUGAAUUUAGAAAAAAAAAGGCUGCAUUAAAAAAAAAAAAGCACUUUGUACACUGAGAUGCAGUGCAGUAUUAUACCACUUGGCAGCCAAAUAAAUUAUUAUACAAUUAAUUGUGAUCCAAUAUAUAAACAAGGUAUCACUACGGAGUGGUUAUAUUAUGUAUAGUGUUUACCUACACAAUUGUAAUAAAGGCAAGAGAUACUAAAAAUUUCUGAUCCAGUAGCUCCGUUGCAAUUCAAGGAAUAAAACCUAAAUGAGGUUUUGAAAAGAGAAAAAAAGAAAGAAAAAAGGUCUAACCUACAAAAUUAUUUUAAGAUAACAGAAACAUGGAAACAGUCUGAGACUAGCCUGCAUUACAAAAAACCUUAGCUCUCUAGACAUUAUGGAAUUUUUAUUAAAUUAUCUUUAUUUUUCUAUCUUGCAUCUAUUUUUUAAAAAAAUAAUUCCAGCAAUAUAUUUGGGCAAUAAAAACAGCAUGCACACAGAAAAACACUUUUUUUUAAAGCAACAGAUGAAUCUGCAUGUUGACAGGUGAAUAAACAUGUUCCAGGAUGGUCAUGUGACUGACAGAUGAAGAAGCAUGUUCUAGGAUGGUCAUGAGGUCUGUAUGUUCCGGGGUCAGAAGACAUAGAUAGCUUGUUUAGCACGGUGGAGCUAGAGAGUUAGUAAAAUGUCUUGUAAAUGUGAGUAAAAACCCUUCCCAGUCAGUAACAGGGACCCGGAGACCAUCCCUGUCUUGUCACUUUAGCAAAAUGAAACCAGCCUGGUGGCAACUGCAGUGUUCUUUGACAGACAGCACAGCUGCAGUGUCACGUAGCAGGAGCGAUGGCCAUCUUACUUCAGGCUCAGGCGAGGCCUAGGCCAAGUCUGAGCAGCCUGGCCCUGCUGUGGAUGACGCUGCAUCCAAAAGGACAUAAUGGCUGACAUCUACAAAGGACAGUAGCAAGGUACCCCAGCAAAUGUGCUAGCGUUUUGGUUUAAUUAUCCCCUCUAGGGGGAAAAAAAAUCUAGGAGAAGCAAGGGAAGCGUCUACUAUUCUGAAAAAACAGCCUGGCCCCAGACACGGGGUUUGGUGCAGAGAUCUGCACCGAUGGGUACCAUCAGCCUCCACCCUCUUCUCCCCUGCAUGGUAGGGGGGCUAGACAGAAGACCCAAGUCCUAGUGCUGGAGGGCACUUAAAUGACAAUUUCCUAGGAGAGUUUUGUUUUUUUUUCAAACGAGGCAAGCGAGGCCCCAGGAUGUAAGAGACGCUGUAUUCAAAUGUGCACAGUCACUGGGGCCUUCUAUCUGCAGACAUUUGUGGGUGCCCCCCCCAACUCACAGAUCAGCUCCUAGGAGUAUGGAAAGGGAACUGCAGUGAGACCAGAACCUUGUCAUGUAACGUACUAUUGUUUUUCAUGGAACGGGAACAUUUGAAAUUUAAAAACUAUUUCCCUUAUCAUAUGCUUGAGUCAAUGAUACCAGUUAUUUCCCCAGGAAGGCAUACAUGAAAUGACCCAUCUAAAAUCAUGACUGGCGGGGGGGGGGGGCACAUCACAACAGCACAGUCACGUCACCAAUGUCUUUAAUGAACACCAUCACAGAUUACCAAGUAUUUAACAGACAAAUGUAGCGUAGCCUCAGAAACUGUGAUCCUGAGAUCCCUUGUCAGGUAUUAUUAGAGAAUAAAAUAAAUUAAUUGUAGAGAUUCACUCGUGAAGAUUUUAUUUAAGCCACAGGUCCAGACCAUUGUUAACUGCUGUUCUGAUUAAUCUGGCAAGAAGAAUGAAUGCCUCAGGUUGGAGAUGAGAAGUCUGGAGCGGGGAGGGGCUCUGGCUGUGCAAUGAGGGGAGGGGUCUUGAUGAGGGGAGGGGACAUGGAAAGUUGGAGAGUGAGUUGCACAGAUGGGGGGGUGAAUGAGGACUUCCAAAAGCACCCAUCUGGCUGGCAUAACGUUUGUUUAGCCGUCAUCCUAAAGAGCUUUAUUUUUUUUAGCCCCAAACUGAUUUAGAGAAGAUCUUACCUUCCAUUCUCUUCCCCCCAGCUAAAGCUGCUUGAAAAAAAUGCAUAUGCAAACAUUUACACAAGUAAUAUUUCCUGUUUCCCAUGCACUGCCCUCAUAUUCAGUAUGCACUCAGAGUAUUUAAUUUUUUAUUUUAAUUGCAAUUAAAAUACAAAGGCAACAUUACGCUCCCACCACACAAUUCCCAGGCUGUUUAAACCAGGCCCCUCCUACCAUAAGCUGUAAAAAUAUAAGUGAUUGGCUUACCUCGGGCUCUUCACUAAGAAGAAAAUUACUUCAUAUAUUUUUUAAACCCAGCCACGCCCACCCCCUUCAAAGCAAGUCCGUGUGUUUACAAUGUGGCCUUGCCAACAGGGCUAAAAUGCCCCCCCUUCUUCUCUCCCCCAAGGUGGGCCCAGUGUGUGCGUGCAUGUGUGUGUGUGUGUGUGUGUGCAGAAUACAAAAUACAGACGUUGUUCACAACCCCAAAGCCCCAGAUACCUGAGUGUCUGGUUUUUCAACCGUUAAGGCGGGAGGGUUUGACGUACGAAUUGAGAAGUAGGAAUUGCUUAGUGCAAAGGAAAAGAGAGAGAAAGACAUAUGGGGUAGGGGGGAAGGUUAUGGAGACCCGCAGCUGCGGCUCCAUUCCCCCCGGCCAGCGGCCCAGCAGAUUACCCAGGAUGCCCCGCCACCUUUUCCUAUGCGUUUUCCCUCUGCUAGCUGCAGAGAGCCUUCGCACAGGUACCACUGAGUGAGUGUGAGUGUGUCAACACGGAAAGUUUUGCUCGCGCCAUGGCGCAAAUCACAAGGCAGCCUAUUUCACAGUACAAGUCCACAAUCGGCGGGUACAUUGAAGAUGCCAGGGAUGGAAACUGGGACACACUGAGCAUGUCAUGCACAGGCGAACAUAGAAAAUGGACACCAACACACACUAACAACAAGCUGUCUGAGUCGAAGCAGCCGUGCCAGGCGAGGCGGGGGCGCGCUCCCCGAUGGCCCUAGCCCACCGCGGUCACGAACAUUUAAGCCGGGGGAGCCCCGAAGGGCCCUCCCCAGCACUUCCUGGCUCACCUCACGCCCCCGCCUGUCCAGCCUAGGAUCGCUGGCGCUGGCGCUGGCCUCCGGCCGGUAACGACCCUCAGUGUCGCUCGGCACCACUUUUCUCCCUGGAGGGCAUAUACUUCGGCCACCCGAACCCUCAAAAAAUCCCCUCUCCCACCCCCAGGGCAUAGUUGGGGGCCCUCCCUGGAACUUCUAACAGGGUUUCCGGACCCCUCCUCCCGUGGUCAAGGCCCAAGCCCCACCGGAAGGCCAUACCACCCCCUCCCCGGGUGCCCAGGGCGGCCCUACUGCCCAGGGGCAGAAGAUGCCGCAUUACCUAGAAGCAGCAAGCGGUGCGUACACAUGUAGUCCAUCUUCUCCUCCUCCAGCUGCUUGUCGAUGGCCUUGCUGCGUUUCUUAUCUGCGCGCUUCUGCUCUCGCAUCUCAAUGGCCUCUUUGCGCAUCUGUUUGCGCCUCUCUUCGAAAGGAUCCUUGGCCUUCCCUGGGCUGAGGGAGCGGGAUCUCUCGGAGAGACCGAAGCAGCUUCCGAAGGCUCUGGCGAAGAAGUUGCGGACUGGGUUGCACCCAACCGUGUGGCUCCUGGGCUGGCCGGGGCGGCGGUUUCGCCGCAGAAGGUACUGGAAGCAGCCGUUGGCCCCUUCUUCCGACUCAUCACUGGAGGAGUCGAUCUCGCAGAUGACGGAUGAUACCUCCUCGUACCUGCAGCAGCUUCGGCCGCGCUCAUACUUGUCGGGCCAGGCACUCGGCCUCGGAGCAGGCCGCGGAGUAGGCGGACUCGGCAGGGGCGGCUGGGACGACCGGGGCUGCACCUCCAUCAGGCUCCGCGCGGACAGCAGGGGCUGCUCCGACUUCUUCAGCAUCGGUUUGGAGAUCCGCGGGUGUUGCUGGGGCCGGAGGAGAUCCGCCGGCAGAGGCAGCAUCAGCUCUCAGAUCAGAGCCUGGCGCAAUGGCGCAGGGCAUUGUCUUUUGUUGCAAUGCAGCUGGGCAGCGGGGCAGGGGGUUGCCUGGGAUACAGGACCCUAGGAGAAGAGCCCCAAGUGUGGAGAGGCUCGGCACAACACAGCCCCUUGCCUACAGCAUCCACGUGGUCGCCCCGAGUACAGGAAAGCAGACAAAGUGCACCACUAGGCAAUGCCUGAGACCUCCCGAAGGCGUGUGACCUCAGCUCUACGGUUCGACACGGUUCGACACACUGCGCGCCGAAACACUUUGAACUUUGGUCCAAAGUUCGGUCAACUACCCCCACGCAAAAUGGCGAAAACAGUUUGAACACACACUGAAUGGUCCAACUGGGUCUCAACCACCAACCCACUCCCCUCCGACCCCAGCGCCAGAGAGGGCUACCGCUGAGGCACCGUGAAGAGGCAUUUCUGGGGCCUGGAGGUGGUGAUCCAGGCCCCUGGAGAGACACAGACUGGAGGACAAGAUGGACAGAGUUCAUUUCCCAGGGAUGCUGAGCCCUGCACGAGGUGGAAGUGACCGAGCAAGUCAGUUGAAUGAACGGAGCUGAGGGCUGGGCCCUGUUGUGUCCCCACAGCCAGUGUGCCUCCAGAGGGCCCGUGUUUAUGAAGCUGAGCAGCACAAAAGACACCUGCCCAAAGGACUUGGGGACCCCAGGAUGGCGCUCACCGAGAAGCCGACUCACCCUCUGGCUCUGCAGAGAGUGACCCCACUGCGCAAGAACUGCUGAAGCCGAAAAGGAGGAACCUUAUGAGGUGAGAAGCAGGGUCCGGAGACCCCAGCUUCUCACCUCAGGGCGAAAAGAAGGGAUGCACCUACCUUCCCGACCACAGCGAACUUUCUAAAGCUCCGCGCCCCAGCUGCCGUCUUUUUCCAGCCUCGCUUCAUCGGCUCACACCCUACGUGAGAAAACAGGUGCGUCGAUCAGAACGGCAUGGCUAGGGGGCGGCCGGAGACCACUAGAUCGUGGUAUUGGACUCUGAAGCCUAAGGAAUUGGAGCACAGCUCUGCCCGCAGCAUAUGGUGUGCAGAGACAUUGGUCAAGCUGAUUUUAGGGCACAUUGAGGGAGAAGUCAAGGCUGUGUGGGUGCUGGUAAAUGCCCUUUUGAUGGAAACUGAUGCCUGCUGUCCACAGUGAGGAAACUUGGAAGGUGCCUGCCGGUGGUGACAGAAAGGAGUGUUUGAGUGGCAGCUUUGAGACAACCCAGCUUGUAAACACCUUUGGAGCCUCACAACCGCCUUCCUGACUGGCCACCUGCUCUGCUUUAGCCUCUUCUACAUGGGGCAGACCCUUCAGUCCUGAAGGGAAGGUUUGCUAAGCAGGAGAGCUCGGGAGAGCGCUGUCUCCUGAGGACCAGGACUGAGCCCAAGUCCACAUGACAGUGUUCUACCACUGGUCUACACUGGCGGCCCUCUUUUAAUUUUAUUUUGAGACACGAUCUCACUGAGUUGCCCAUACUAGCCUCAAACUUGGAACCCUCAUGCCUUAGACUCCCAAGUAACUAGUAUUAUAGGCAUGAACCACUGUGCCCAGUCUGGAGGGUUUCUUGGUUAACUACCUCUGUAAGAAAGAGCUCUGGGGAGUGGGGGACAAACACCCAGCUUUGUGAGUUGUUAACACCCUGCCUCUCGCAUGUAUGGCCUAGUAUCUGCCUAAUAAAUUUGUGUAAAAGGA